rnacentral:tRNA from 1 species
GGGUAUAUAGCUUAGUGCUAGAGCUCGUGCAUCGCGUGCAUGAGGUGCUGGGUUCAAUCCCCAGUACCUCCG